UCUCUUUCAUAUUUUAUCUUAUCAAAUAAUAAAGUUAUCCUCCCGUCCCCAUGGCAUCAAUCUACUACUGGACCAGGUCGAGCACCAAUUUCCUUGUAAUUUCUUUGGUCAUUUUAUUUUAUUUUAUUUUUUUACUUGGAGCUCACAGUUCCACAGAGAGAACGUUUAGAGGAUGACUGUUUCAGUUGCCUCUCUUUUCUCUCAUGUUUCUCACAAACCAAACGGCCUUUCCUUUCCCCGCUCAAAGUCCAUCUCCGUCAGCCCAGAAUUUCUCCUCUCGUUGUAUGGAAAUCGAGACUCGAAGCCCAAACGAUUAUCGGCACCGGUUGCCAAAAAAAGGGCCAAGAAGGCAGCGGCAAAAUAAUCAUCAAUUACCGCGAUUUCAAGGUCCUCUUUCUCUUUUUCUCUCUUGUGCAUUUAUAUAGAGUUCACAGUUUCAAGUGAGCUCUGUUUCGAUACAUUGCAAGCUUCUGUGGAUUUUCAAAUUUACUGUGUUGUUUGGGGUUUUAAAGGAUGAUAUUUUGUGGAAAAUUAGGGAUUCUCAAUUAUUAGCAUAGUUUGCUUAUUUUCAAUGCCAUGUUCUGUGUUUCAUUCUGCUGAGCUAAUUUUGCAUCUUGUGUAGUUCUAUUCGUGUCUGUCUACGUCUGGUUAUUAUCUUGGAUGUGAAAAUGAUGGAAAUAUGUCAUCAAGGCAUGGCCAUGGGAAAAUGUACAACUCCAAUUAUUAACGUUUGGGAAGGAGCAGAUCAAAUGGAUAGAUUACACAGUGUGAUUGAUACUGUUCAGUCGGUAUUGGAGAUAAAACCCAUCGUAUAUUGUGUUUGGGAAAUAUGGAUUUGGAUUGAUAAAUAGAAAAAAAUAAUAAUAAAAAAAGAUAAAUGCAUUAUUAUGCUUGAAGUCCUCAUCUAUAUAUUUUAAAGUGAAACUGUUUACAAUCAUCUCUGUUUCUGGCCCUGAGACAGUGGAUAAGAAUUCAAAUGUGUAUUUUAUCUAGCUCGUAAUUGGCGUAGUUAAUUAAUGCAUAAAUAUUUACCCCCAAAAAAAAUAAAAAUUAAGGCAUUAAAAAUCACAUAGUUGACGUAGGCAAUGAAGGUAAUUUACUGUUAUUUCUAUUGGUAUGUGUUGGAUGGCGGAAUGGCAUGAUUGUUGGCUCAAAAGCAUUUUGAGACAGGUUCAAGCUGUUACAUAAAUCAUUGUUACGAGGGAUAUCAUUUAUGUAAAAAGAAGGUCAGCUGUUGAAUUACUCUUUGUAAGCAUUUUCAAACAAGCUCAAGCUGCUAUGUAAAACCUUUUUUUUUCUUUCUUGGAAGAAGUUCAGCCAUCCUCUAAUUAUUUAUUUUUUGUAUUUUGAAUUCUUAUUCAAAAUGCGUUUAUUUGUAUUUUUGGGUGGCAGUGGAAUUGAUGAUCAUAGAUAAGGAGACCCUGCCACUAGUGCCAUGUCUGCCAUUCGCAUAGUCGAUGCCUUCUUGGUCCCCAAAUUCCAUUGUGAUACCAUCAAGAAGCUCUUGUACGAGCGUACUGGAAGCUUGCCCAUUCAUUUUAUGCUUCUGCAAAAGCAGGAUAUAAAGGGAUAGGUUUCUCUUGCUGUUCCAGAGGCUUUCUCGUGAUCAGCAUUUUUCCAAACCUGCUUUUUAUAGCUUGGAAUUGUCACAUUUCGGAAGCCAUGAGGUACUUUCAUUCUCGUUUUACACUACUCUGCCAUCGAACUAUACUGUAGCCAAAGUGCUAUCCAUUUGUUCGUGGAAUAGUGAUUCUUAAAAUGCUUAAAAUUGGGAGUUUACAUUGUGUGAAAUUGGAGAUAAUAGAUCAUAAGUUUCUUUGACAAGCAAUACAAGAUAACUACUGGAUUUUUCUUUUCUUUUUUUUUUGGAGAACAACAUAGUUGUUGCAAAAGGCGAAAUGCUUGCAGAGAGUAUUUUCAAGUUAGCGUUAUAUUUAUUGUGAAAGCUUCUGCACAUUUAUUUGAUAUUAUUGUAUUUGUGAAAAUCUUGUGUUUUUA